UCAACUUGAGAGUUUGAUUCUGGCUCAGAACGAACGCUGGCGGCAGGCCUAACACAUGCAAGUCGAACGAUAUAGUGGCAGACGGGUGAGUAACGCGUGGGAACGUACCUUUCACUACGGAAUAGCUCUGGGAAACUGGUGGUAAUACCGUAUACGCCCUUCGGGGGAAAGAUUUAUCGGUGAAAGAUCGGCCCGCGUUAGAUUAGGUAGUUGGUGGGGUAAUGGCCUACCAAGCCUACGAUCUAUAGCUGGUCUGAGAGGAUGAUCAGCCACACUGGGACUGAGACACGGCCCAGACUCCUACGGGAGGCAGCAGUGGGGAAUCUUGCACAAUGGGCGAAAGCCUGAUGCAGCCAUGCCGCGUGAAUGAUGAAGGCCUUAGGGUUGUAAAAUUCUUUCGCUAGGGAUGAUAAUGACAGUACCUAGUAAAGAAGCCCCGGCUAACUUCGUGCCAGCAGCCGCGGUAAUACGAAGGGGGCUAGCGUUGUUCGGAAUUACUGGGCGUAAAGCGCACGUAGGCGGACUUUUAAGUCAGAUGUGAAAUCCCGGGGCUCAACCUCGGAACUGCAUUUGAAACUGGAAGUCUGGAGUUCAGGAGAGGUUAGCGGAAUACCGAGUGUAGAGGUGAAAUUCGUAGAUAUUCGGUGGAACACCAGUGGCGAAGGCGGCUAACUGGACUGAUACUGACGCUGAGGUGCGAAAGUGUGGGGAGCAAACAGGAUUAGAUACCCUGGUAGUCCACACCGUAAACGAUGAGAGCUAGUUGUUGGCAGGCAUGCCUGUC
rnacentral:rRNA from 1 species